rnacentral:rRNA from 1 species
UGGGGAAUCUUGCGCAAUGGGCGAAAGCCUGACGCAGCGACGCCGCGUGGGGGAGGAAGCAUUUCGGUGUGUAAACCCCUGUCAGGAGGGAAGAACGGUCCGGGGAGGAAAUGCCCUGUGAUUUGACGGUACCUCCAGAGGAAGCACCGGCUAACUCUGUGCCAGCAGCCGCGGUAAUACAGAGGGUGCGAGCGUUGUUCGGAAUUACUGGGCGUAAAGCGCGCGUAGGCGGCUCUUUAAGUCUUACCGUGAAAUGCCGGGGCUCAACCCCGCGCACGUCGGGGGAUACUGGGGAGCUGGAGACAAGUAGAGGCGAGCGGAAUUCCGGGUGUAGCGGUGGAAUGCGUAGAGAUCCGGAAGAACACCAGAGGCGAAGGCGGCUCGCUGGGCUUGGUCUGACGCUGAGGCGCGAAAGCGUGGGGAGCGAACAG